AUUGAACGCUGGCGGCAGGCCUAACACAUGCAAGUCGCACGAGUGGCGGACGGGUGAGUAAUGUCUGGGAAACUGCCUGAUGGAGGGGGAUAACUACUGGAAACGGUAGCUAAUACCGCAUACCAUCAUAUUUGCCCAGAUGGGAUUAGCUGGUUGGUGGGGUAACGGCUCACCAAGGCGACGAUCCCUAGCUGGUCUGAGAGGAUGACCAGCAACACUGGAACUGAGACACGGUCCAGACUCCUACGGGAGGCAGCAGUGGGGAAUAUUGCACAAUGGGCGCAAGCCUGAUGCAGCAAGGCCGCGGGGAUGAAGAAGGCUUUCGGGUGGUAAAGUACGUUCAGCGGGGAGGCGGUACCCGAAGAAGAAGCACCGGCUAACUCCGUGCCAGCAGCCGCGGUAAUAC
rnacentral:rRNA from 1 species